rnacentral:lncRNA from 1 species
AAUGGAUUUCAUGGUAACGUCAUUUGCCUCCUAUGCCAUUAGACCUCCAAAGCAAUGAAGAUGUUAAAGACUCAUAAGUACGGGAUACUCUCCAAGUCAGCAAUUCAGCCCCAGUAGUCAGUGACAUGGGAGCCCAGGCAGCACCGAGGUGAAAGGAUUCACCCUGAGCUGGCGUCUGGACCUGCGCACACCCAGUCCCACCAGGGACCACUAGUGAUGAGUAGGAGGUUUGAGACUUGAGUACUUGCUUCAUCACAGGGGUCCCUGACGCACCCCAUUCUGAGACAGUAGAUUGGAAACCAGGGUAUGGAAAUAACCACCGAAAGUGACCUUCUGCCAUGGUAUUUGUAAAGGGAAGAACAGUUAAUCCCAAGAGUGAUGGAGCCUGUUAGGCAACUUGGGCCACACAGGGCAAGAAACCUUUGUCGCUCUCCCAAGAUGGAACCAAGAUGGACCUUGGCAGUUACAGAGAGCUCCAGCGCAUGAACUUCCCUCACAGCAGAACCCAAAUUCCACAGGAAGCAGCCAAGGAAGGGACAGAGGAAGCAGGGGACAGCUGGGAAUAUCAGCUCUCCUUGUUGCCUCCCCAAGGCACACGUUACGACCAUCUAUCGAGAGAAGAGCAAGAAGGGUUUUCUGAGAUGCUGGGGUUUAUAUAAGAUAGAGCUUAUCAAAUACUUUCCAUCUGUCCAAGAAAUUUUUACACAAGUCUAGGUAUAAGUAUA